GUUGGGGAAAAUAAGAAAAGUUUAUUGCCAGGCAAUGGCCAGUCUCAGGAAACAGGUCCUUAUAGACUGACCAUGAGUUAUGAAAGCUUCUCCUUUGUAUAGCAUUUACAGAGUAAGAAGUUCAAAUUGCAGUUACACAGCUGGGUGGCAAAACAGCAAGGGACCUUUCCAUAGCUUCAAGGUUGGGGGGGUUACAUAAAUAAUUUCAAGGCUGUUCUCUUAUCUUUUCAGGAACAGGCUGCCCCAUCUGAGGGGAAAGGGUAACCCAGCAUGUUUUCAAACAGGGACAAGUUGACGCAGAUGGGGUUUUGCAAUAGCUCACACAAAGCACAAAGACAACAUAUUUCUGCUAUAUUGUUAUUUUAAGCUGACAUACAGUUCAUGGACAGAUGUGCUACAGUCAUUAUUCAUUCCAAGUUAUGUUUGGCAGCUCCUUCCACUUCAAGGAAGCAGAGAGGGAAGAAGUAAUUUGGGGUAUAGUGGUCCCCUAAAUCACAGCAAGUGACACCUCCUCCAGACGGGUUGGGGCAGGACUGUCUUGGGAGGACUUCUGCCUGCUUUCCUGGGGUGGUGAGCCAGCAAGAGGGAGCUGGAGUCCCUGACUCAGCCCAGAUGGGGCCCAGGGGGACCUGGCAGAGUGAUCACCAGGAUCCAUCUUCAGCAGGGAUCCUUCCCCAUAUCUGCUCUGCAGAAUCACUCGAUGCUAUCAGCAGCCCCAGCUCUCCUAGAGGAAACUGCUGGGCCCUGAAGGCUUUGUUUUCCCCUUUGUUCUGCUCCUUUGGAACCUGCCCUCCUGUCUGGGUUGGGCUAAACCAAGGUCAUGUGAAUAGACCCCAGGGAAAGGUUAAUUUUCUAUUUCCCAGGGGAGCAGGCAGGAGGGGAUGUGGGGACCAACUAGGGGGUGACGGAGCCCGCCGUCACUUGUCGAACAGCACCUGAAUGGGGGAGUGAGGAUGAAGAAAAAGAAAGACGCAGAGAUGGAGUCGGGAGCCUCCCAGAGAGACUGCCGCCACCACUUUUUUAUUCUCCUCCCCUUUUUAUCACAGGUCCCUGUUCGGGCGCCACCCGUGAUGGAGCCAGGCGUCACUUGUCGAACAGCACCUGAAUGGGGGAGUGAGGAUGAAGAAAAAGAAAGACGCAGAGAUGGAGUCGGGAGCCCCCCAGAGAGACUGCCGCCGCUGCUUUUUUAUUCUCCUCCCCUUUUUAUCACAGGUGAGUUUGGUUAUUAAUCAUGACCCUUACCCAAAGACACCUGCUUCCUUGUUCUCUAAUUCUUUGGAAAUUCCCCACCCUCAUGGGCUUUCUUGUUUCUCAGGUUUACAAAACGUUCAUCAUGUUCCAGGACAAUUUCUGAAGGUAAACAUCUAAUUUGGCAAGGACGCGGUUCCUUGUCACAGAGUCUCCUUGCUCUAGACAAUGGAGGGUAAGAUUUAACAUGGAGCCUCUAUGGCUAACACCACUCUCCACAAGGGGGCAAGAGUUGGGGGUGAAGUACCUGCUUUUUUAUGAUUUGUGUAGCAGUUUGUAGACUGAUUUAAGUAAUAUGGUAGAGGGAGAUGUUCAGGGCGACUUAAAAACAAAACAAGCGUAACUUUACUGAAUGCUUAUUGAGUUCCAGAAAGGUACUAUUUUAAGUGCUUUAAAGUAAA
ensembl:lncRNA